CUUCUCUCUCCCUCUCCCUCUCCACUGCCUAUCUACCUCUCUCCCCUAACUCUCUCUAUUUCUCUCUCCCGUCGAAGAAAACAGAGCUCUCAACCUCCAAAAUUUUCCGUCGUUCCUCCAACUCAUCUCACGUCGCCGGCCGGAAGAGCUGCUGCUGUCGCGCCGCUGCUCCGUCGCACGCCGUCACUGCCGGCGUCCAAUUCAGCCGCGCCCGCUGCUGCCGUCGGUCAAUUCAGCCGCGCCCGCUGCUGCCGUCGGCCAAUUCAGCCAUCGUCCAUCACCGAACCAACCCCGAACAACUCCGAACAGCCCCGAAACGACCCGAAUCAACUGAGGAGCUUGGUUUUUAUUCAAGGGUUUUGAUAUUUUGAAUAUUAAGAGAUGGAAAACCUAAAGCAUUUACAUCGCGACAUACCACGAGAGUUGCCGGAUGUGUUAAUAUUUGACAUAUUUUGGAGGUUACCAAUGACGGAUGUGGUUAGGACAUCUCUUCUAUCCAAACGCUGGAGGAGCUUUUGGACCACUGCUCCCUUUCUUAAUUUCGAUAAUCGUGCUAUGUUGUUUGAUGAUAUUAAGCUUCGUAAUUUUGUUAAUCAGGCUCUAUUAUGCUGGAAUGGGAAUAGGAUUUUGAAAUUCAGGUUUCAUUCGCAUAAUCACUUAUGUUUAAUGAUGUUGAUUUGUGGGUGAGUUUUGGCCAAAGAAAUGGAGUUGAAGAAUUACAUUUA